rnacentral:lncRNA from 1 species
AAAUGCACUUGCUUGCGUCGCUAUCACCGAAUUAAUACUUCCGACCAACACAGCUUUUUUUAGCUACAGGCGGAUAACACGUCUCACCAUGGGACAAUUUUUUUAAACGGUGUAUUUUGAGGGAUAACCAUUAAUGAGACAUUCUUUGGGGUCUAAUAGGCAGAUGUGCGGUUUCCCUUGGAUAUUACUAUGUCUAUAGAGUAAUUAUUUUACAUCUUUUAAAAAAAAACUUAAUCACUUUUUUAAAGUUUGGGCGUCCUACAUGUGCUCCAAAUUUGUUGAAUAUUUCUGAAUUCGUGUUUCAAACAUUUCCAAGGGGUUGGUGAACAAAAUAACUGCUCUUAAGCUGCAGUCACUGGGAAACGAUAAUCUUUAAAACUGCACCAGGGUUUGUUUUUUAUAAAGUGUACUUGGAGAUCUUGGCGUAUCAACAUGAACGCAAGUUCAAAGGGGCAACAGCACGUCAGUCGCGUGUACACUAAAAUCCAGAAUAAUUAACCACAAAACAAAGCAGGCCGCAUAGGUAAUCAAUCCCACCAUUAAAACACCAUCGACACUGACAAAAUAUCAGUUUCUGCUUCGUAUUAAACAAGUUUCCUGGUUUUUUUCUCCUAGAUACCUGAAUGGAUCUUUACUGAUUGCACCUACCAGGAACUGGAUAAUUCAGAGUGGUCCAACUUUAUUUGAUAUUGUAAAAAAAAAUACGUUUAAAUAAGAAAGGGAAGAUCUUUGUCAGUAAAGUCAUUUUAGGCUAAGUGUAUACCCUAUAUGAAGUGGAGAAACAAGUAAACCGUGCAAAGGAUUGAUUUAUUGGUCAUGGUUGUCGGCAGUAGAAGCAUUCACUUUCUCCUUUUUUUGUUUUUCCUGAAUUUAGAAUAGCGCCCGGAGUAAGCUCAGCAUUAUGAAUGCUGCGCAAGUUUCCGUUUCUGACCCUGGCCAACCGGUGGCGUAUUUGAGCGACCUCGACCUGCUGGCGCUUGCCGGGAAAAUCAUGCCAUCAAAGAGGGAAUCUUUGGGUCUUGUGCUUGGAUUCACGAAGGUCGAUCUGGCUUUUCAUGCUGCAAAUAACCCUAACCAAGACAAGUCACAAAUUCACGAGAUGCUGGUCGACUGGCGUAAUCGACAGGAGGGAGACGGGCCGACCAAUGUCAAGCUGCUCGGUCAGGCUUUAGCCCAUAGUGCAGUUGGACUCGUUGACUUGAAAAAGGAAUUGUACAAAUAUUAUCAUAUUACUGAAUAACCAAAACCUUAUUCUCUUAUGUUUAUCAUUUAUAAUCACAGCUAACGCGGAUUUUAUUUAGACCCUUAAUGGGCGAAGGCUUUGAUUUUAAGUUAUCGCUUCAGCGUUGAAAUUUCAUACCUGUAUACACCAACACAUCGUGAAAGGGACAAUAUCGUACCCAAGAUGUCAUAUUAAAACAAAAUGCAAGGUUUCAUUUUUCUGUUCCGAUUGACUAGUAACUUUACAACAGAAUCUGUUCUUGUCGAGUUCUUUUACUCCCUUGUUUAAAAACUCCACCUGCCCUGAAGGGUAUAGAUAUUAUACAUUGGCUUAAUAGAAAACACAUUGAAGUAGCAUGAUGCGGCAAAUGCGGCCAAAGUGUAUUGUUUUUCUUUUUUAAAAGUCUAAAAGACAAAGUUUAAGACCAAAUAUUGCACCAAAGAUCGGAAGUGAAAGGCUGCACCUCUCGUUAGCUGAAAGAUGAAGUCAUUGGCUAGAAUCCCUCUGAGAAGACGGCAAAUCUAACUAAAACUGGAUUUCAUUAUUAGAGAGGACAACCAAUGCUCAUAGUUCGACAGCCAGUGUUGCGUUAAAUACACAGUCACGUCAAACAUACACUCUGGUCUUGUAUCUUUUCUCCGUAACUUAAAACAUAAGGCAGUUUACUUUCACCCAGACCUUUGAAAUAUGCAAACUAAAUAAUCUAAAAAACACAUAUGAAUUUUUGGGGCGAUGAAAUAAUGAUGAAAUUGUCACAGUUGUGGUUGGAAUGUUCAUUUGCCUCUAGUGAAUUAAAUAAGUAUAUAGAACUCUGUGUGACAACUUUUCGAAGUCACGUUGUAUGAAGUGAAUUGAUUAAAUGCAACUGUGUCAAAUUAUAUAAGUUUUCCCGGCCGCAUUCCUCAUCUUCGCCGCCAAGAUCAUUAUCAUGCAUUUGCAUUCGGCUUGUCACUCUCGUGUAUCGUAUUCGCACGGCAUAGCCUUCAACUUCAUUUGCAAUCGUCGAAUGGAUCACGCAUACAAUUAAUGUAGCACUGAAUUCAUUCGAUAAAAAGCGCAUAAUCGUCAAUCAAUGUUUGCCCUCGGUGACCGGAAGGAGAAAUUCCUUCCGAUUGAUACUUUCAUCUUGUUUAUGGGUAACCAUAUUCCUUCGAGCCUUCGUACGGAUAGUAGUGUAGAUAUAAAACUCCAAGAUAGAAAGAGUAAAUGAGAAAUAAGGGAGAAUACAUAAAAUAAUAUUUGAGAGAGGCAUGCUCCCCACAGACUUGUAAACUUUAAAACAUAGUCUGAAAAAGCCCCAGAAAUUAAAGAUAAGAAAAUCGAAUAAUGUUUGUUCAUUUAAAUUAAGAGAUGGAGGCAAUAGUACAUUUGUUUGCUCUUUCAACGAUGAUCUAGAGCUAUUUCGUGGAGAAUUGAAUGAACUGUCGUUAAUUGGAAUGAGAUUUGGAUUUAGGCCGGGAAACCUGCAUUGUAAUAACGACUGUUACGUAAACACACACAGGUACCGCACACGAUUCUGUGUGUGACCCGCGUUUGACCCCAGGCCACAGGGAAUGUACUUUUAUAAAUAUUCUCGUUGUACGCCUGCAGUAGGAAAUUUCUUGCAAGCUGACGAUAUUUCCAGUUGUGUUUCGGAAGUUUGUAGUAAGUUUCAUCGCAAGAUGUUAAACAUUCAUUUUAUUGAUUUGAAAUAAUGCGUGAUGAUCAUUGUCUGCUAAAAUAAAGAAAAGAAUACGGAAACUUUAUGCACAUGUUAUCAUAUCUCCGUAAAUAAACAUCAGAAUUCAACAGACAAAGUGUCAAUUAGCAGGUAUUUUAUGAACAAUAUAUCGGUCAUCUUAACUCAUGAAAACGGUAGAUGUAAACAUUGUGCAAUGAAAUUCUUCAAAUAUCUCUUUCAGAUUA